UAAUACCCAGUCAUCUAACUGUAAAAACAAGACCUUUUUUUAUUUGAUUUAACGAGAUAUUUCAGUGAAAAUGAAAUGGAUGCAAGUAAUAUUGAAGAGAUAGAAAACAGAGAUGCAGGAUUGAGAAAAGAGAAGAUAUCUCAGUGAUUUAACCAAACCAAGCUGGAAGUCAUGGAUCCGAAUGAUGGAAACAAACUCUCUACUAGGGUUUAACCAUGGCAUCUAGCAGUCUAUACUCAUUCAUGAUCCAGUCUGUCUUGGUUCCUUUAGGAGGACGACCCAAGUAAAAAACUAGAGCUUUCUUCACUCCAAUGUUCUUUGAUCCAGAAGAAUUGAGAA